UCCGAACCCACUUCAGUUAAAAAUGGAGGGGAUGAGCUGUGGAUAGGGGUGAAAGGCUAAACAAACUCGGAGAUAGCUGGUUCUCCCCGAAAGCUAUUUAGGUAGCGCCUCGGACGAAUACCAUUGGGGGUAGAGCACUGUUUCGGCUAGGGGGUCAUCCCGACUUACCAAACCGAUGCAAACUCCGAAUACCUACAAGUGCCGAGCAUGGGAGACACACGGCGGGUGCUAACGUCCGUCGUG
rnacentral:rRNA from 1 species